rnacentral:rRNA from 1 species
UGGGGAAUAUUGGACAAUGGGCGCAAGCCUGAUCCAGCCAUGCCGCGUGAGUGACGAAGGUCUUCGGAUUGUAAAGCUCUUUUGGCGGGGACGAUAAUGACGGUACCCGCAGAAUAAGCCCCGGCUAACUUCGUGCCAGCAGCCGCGGUAAUACGAAGGGGGCUAGCGUUGUUCGGAAUCACUGGGCGUAAAGCGCACGUAGGCGGAUUUGUUAGUCAGGGGUGAAAUCCCGGGGCUCAACCUCGGAACUGCCCUUGAUACUGCAAAUCUCGAGUCCGAUAGAGGUGAGUGGAAUUCCUAGUGUAGAGGUGAAAUUCGUAGAUAUUAGGAAGAACACCAGUGGCGAAGGCGGCUCACUGGAUCGGUACUGACGCUGAGGUGCGAAAGCGUGGGGAGCAAACAGGAUUAGAUACCCCCGUAGUCCCUGAGCGGGCUGGCAAGGCGCAU